rnacentral:rRNA from 1 species
GAUGAACGCUGGCGGCGUGCUUAACACAUGCAAGUCGAACGGAAAGGCCCAAGCUUGCUUGGGUACUCGAGUGGCGAACGGGUGAGUAACACGUGGGUGAUCUGCCCUGCACUUCGGGAUAAGCCUGGGAAACUGGGUCUAAUACCGGAUAGGACCACUUCUUGGAUGUUGUGGUGGAAAGUUUUUUCGGUGUGGGAUGAGCUCGCGGCCUAUCAGCUUGUUGGUGGGGUAAUGGCCUACCAAGGCGUCGACGGGUAGCCGGCCUGAGAGGGUGUACGGCCACAUUGGGACUGAGAUACGGCCCAGACUCCUACGGGAGGCAGCAGUGGGGAAUAUUGCACAAUGGGCGCAAGCCUGAGGCAGCGACGCCGCGUGGGGGAUGACGGCCUUCGGGUUGUAAACUCCUGUCGCUAGGGACGAAGCGUUUUUGUGACGGUACCUGGAGAAGAAGCACCGGCUAACUACGUG